CUCAACGCAUCGAUUUAGCUCUCUCUCCUCAGUUUCUCAUUUCUCAAAAUAUUCUCACUCUGAAUAUCUUUCAAUCUCCCAAAUUUUCUUCCUAAAUCGUAUAAUUUUCCGUUGAUUUUUUUUUCUUUUCUAAUAAUCGAGUUCUUGUUUUCUUUCUUUUUAUUUCUCGUAAUCAAAUGGCUGAAAUGGGCAUGGAGAGUUCCGAUCUAGUCGUUCUUGACAAAGAUCCAACGGUGGAGAAUUGCGGAUCAAAGCCUUCUCCGAACUCUCACACUGAACUUUUAGAAGAGCAUACCGACUCCAUAGAUGAAGAUACUAUAUCCAGCAUGAACAAAGAAGUAUCUCCAGCUCAGGGGCCAACUCUUCCGAUAUUACAGAAAGUUAUUAAGUUGAGUAACAGUGUUC